CCGAAACCCAAACACCUCCCAUCUGACACAACAAGGGACACCAUCACAAGGGUCCACUACUACCCAGUCAAAGAUCGCAUCAUGCAAGCAGCCAGAAGGGCAGGCCGCUGGCCGGAACCCUAUACUGACAUUAAACUUUUCAUAGACCUCUCAUCAACAACCAUGCUUGCACAAUGCACGUUUGCACCCAUCACUGCAGCAUUACGAGCAGCAAACAUACCCUACAAAUGG